rnacentral:sRNA from 1 species
AAAUUGCGUUAGGGAUUGAAGUGAAAAUCCUUUGAUCACACGGUAGAGUGGUCAAAGAUUGUAACGUAAAGCCCGACCAUCC